GAUGAACGCUGGCGGCGUGCCUAAUACAUGCAAGUCGAGCGAACGGACGAGAAGCUUGCUCCUCUGACGUUAGCGGCGGACGGGUGAGUAACACGUGGAUAACCUACCUAUAAGACUGGGAUAACUUCGGGAAACCGGAGCUAAUACCGGAUAAUAUAUUGAACCGCAUGGUUCAAAAGUGAAAGACGGUCUUGCUGUCACUUAUAGAUGGAUCCGCGCCGCAUUAGCUAGUUGGUAAGGUAACGGCUUACCAAGGCAACGAUGCAUAGCCGACCUGAGAGGGUGAUCGGCCACACUGGAACUGAGACACGGUCCAGACUCCUACGGGAGGCAGCAGUAGGGAAUCUUCCGCAAUGGGCGAAAGCCUGACGGAGCAACGCCGCGUGAGUGAUGAAGGUCUUCGGAUCGUAAAACUCUGUUAUUAGGGAAGAACAAAUGUGUAAGUAACUGUGCACAUCUUGACGGUACCUAAUCAGAAAGCCACGGCUAACUACGUG
rnacentral:rRNA from 1 species